rnacentral:lncRNA from 1 species
UGGACAUGCAACGAAAUAACUAGCAAAGAGACCUUGUUUCAACAUCAAAUAUGUUUCCGUAAGGCCAGAUUCUUGGGCAAAGUUGUUUUAGCGAUCUGGUUGCAACUAAGUAUUGGAGUUGUUGUGCCUUGAAGCUAGAAACUGCCUUGAAUUUCUACAUAGGGAAAUGUAAUCUAUUGCUUUCUUACAGGUAAACGUUUAUCAUGCAAAUAUUGCUCUCUCCUUGGCGAUACCUUGUUGGUAGAAGUAGAAUUUAAAAUAUAUUAUUGCCAUUUGCCAGCUGACCUGUGACACAGCAGCAGUGUAUUACAUUUUCAAUGAGCAGUCUGUCUGGAGCUGCUAGUGGGAGAAACUGCUUCCUGGUUUCUAGGGGAGGCAGAUGAUGAAUAAAUGAACAAAAAAUAUAAUAAUGGAUAUGUAUUUAUAAGUGCUAUGAAGAGAAGAAAUCCAAGCAAGAAGAGAGUGAAAUGAGGUAUCCUGUAAGAACAAAUUGCUGCCUCCUCCAGGUGGAAAGGGAUCAAAUAUAAUUAAUCUGUGUGUGCCACACAGUAGCUUGAUAGUUUAAUUGAGGAAUGUUGACAUAUUGAGAGCUCAGCAUUACUUUCUGCUAUCAGCAGUGACGGCAUAAGAGCUGUAUCCUAACUGCACUGCUGAAUUUGGGCUUCCUGUGGGGGCACGGCAAGUGCCCUCUUUGAGAGUGAGGAGGCUGAGAGUCUCACACCAACAGGAAUGAGUGCUUUGAAAUUAACUGGUGUUUGGAAAUUGAUCUGAAGCCAGUGCCUGGGAUUCUGAGAUGCAGCCACAUCAUAAAGUUUCAUUACUCAAUUGCAGUAGAGAAAACCUCAAAGGAACCACUUCUAAUGGAAACUGCCUCAAUUCCUGGUCAAGUCUCACAGUCUAACCUGGAGGUGCUCUGAGAUGUGACUAAGUUAAGGAUUUUGAGAUGAAGAGACCAUCCUGAAUUAUCUGAGUGGGUCCUGAAUGUCAUCACAAGAAGCCUUAGAAGAGAGAAGCAUGAAAACCAGAAGAGGAGGAAGAGGCAACCGGGCCAUGAAGACAAGAGAUUAGAGUGAUGUGGCCACAAGUCAAGAAGUGCCGGCCUCCAGCAAAAAACUGGAAGUCAGGAGCAGGAUCUCUCCUAGAGCCUGUGGAGGGAAUGUAACCCUGCCAAUAACUUGAUUUUGGCCCAGAGAAACUGACUUCAGACUUCUGGCCUUCAGGAUGGCGAGAGAAUUAAAUCGCUGUUGUUUUUAGCCCAGUAUGUGGUAAUUUUGUUACAACAGCCACAGAAAACUAGUACAGUGGAUUUUUAGCAGUAGAAUUAAAUUAGCAGUGGAUUAAAGAGCAGUAGAAUUGUGAUUUUAUCAACACUUACUGGAUGGCAGAUUUCCUCUGCAGCAGAAGAGAAUAAAAUGUUGCCUAGGUGAUGCUGACCACCAAAACUUCUGCCAUGGACUCAGCAGUGUGAACAGACCCUGGGAAUCUAUGUACACAUAAAACACCAUGAACAUUUUGCAUUUUCUGAUUUGAACUGAAUAGGCGUUCUACUCUGUAAAUAUUUACAAAAAAACUAAAUAUAUAUUUAUGUUAACCCUUUGCUAGAGAUUUUUAAACAAACAAAAAAAUACCAGAUCUUAUUCACCAUUUUUGAUGUCAGUAAAGUGUGUUACGCAAAUUGGCUUCAAAAAUUAAAACCUGUAACAAACUUUGAGUCUUGAAAUGCAUGCUAUGUAUGAUCUUAAAAACAUGUAGGUAGGCUUAUUAGUUCAUAGAGGUUCAUAGUAUUUCAUAUGUUUUUCAGACUAUAUGUAGGGAAUUGCUGACAAAUCUUGGUAUCACUAAAUCCAUUAUCAUGUUCUGAAAUGUCACCAAAUUGAGCCUACAUAUUGUGAAGAGUGAGUGUAUGGCCAUAUAGUGUAUGGCCUCAAGAUUUUGUCUUAUAAUUUAAGUUUCAAUGUCCACACCUCAUCUAAAUUAGGGUACCAUUUGGACUAUCAUGUUUAAUAAAUUUACCACUAAGUAAUUACAUUAAAAACAAAUUUAUCUUAAAGAUGUAUAAAUUGUUUUCAUUGAAGAAGGUAGUUACUUUGGUAGCCUGUUAACAAAGCCCUGGGAAUUAUAAGACUGUAUUUUCAUGGAGGCAUACAUGUGUAGUAAUUGUAAAAUGGUUCUGUUUUCAUAUCUGGAUCUUUUAUAUGUGUGUCUGAAUUAAGAAAUUCCCAUAAUAAAAUAAAAUCUUAAUUUAGCAAAAUUAAUAUAUAGAAAGAAAUUUUAUAAAUCAUAGACUUUUAAGAUGAUCAAAUAACCUUGCUGAUCAUCUAGUCUCACACCUUUUUUGUAGAAGGCUAGACUAAAAUUCAUAAAUGUAAAUGAUCUCUCUAAAGGCAUAUGGCAAGCUAUUGGACACACCAGGAAUAAAACCCAGGUCUUGGCCGGGCGAGGUGGCUCACGCCUGUAAUCCCAGCACUUUGGGAGGCCGAGGCGGGCGGAUCACGAGGUCAGGAGAUUGAGACCAUCCCGGCUAAAACGGUGAAACCCCGUCUCUACUAAAAAUACAAAAAUUUAGCCGGGCGUAGUGGCGGGCGCCUGUAGACCCAGCUACUUGGGAGGCUGAGGCAGGAGAAUGGCGUGAACCCGGGAGGCGGAGCUUGCAGUGAGCCGAGAUCCCGCCACUGCACUCCAGCCUGGGCGAUAGAGCGAGACUCCGUCUCAAAAAAAAAAAAAAAAAAACCCAGGUCUUCUGACUCCUAGUCCAGGACUCAUCACAAACACCAUGACUCAUUACUUUCAUUGUAAAAGACUCUGGCACAAGCUGUUAACUGGUUAAAUGGCUAAAGGAGGAAAGGUAAAAUAGUAAAACAGAGUGAAAGUGAUACCACCCUAUUGAAGAUCAUUCUAAAUUAAACAUAGAUGUCUUUGAGAUUAUAAAUAAAAAUAUACUUUGAAUAUAUUUGACUACAAAGUCAAUUUUAAAAUAUUCAAAGUUAGUUCUUCAAAAAACUAAUAAUAGAACUACAAUAUGAUCCAGCAAUCCCACUACUGGGUAUAUAUCCAAAGGAAAGGAAAUCAAUAUGUCUAAGAGACAUCUGUACUUCCAUGUUCAUUGAAGCAUUACUCACAGGAAUCAAGACAUGGAAUCAACCUAAGUGUUUAUCAGUGGAUGAACAGAUAAAGUAAAUGUAGUAUAUAUACACAAUGGAAUACUAUUCAGCUUUGAAAAUGAAGGAAACGCUGUCAUUUAAGACAACGUUAAUUCAGCCUGGAGAUCAUUAUCUCUAGGUUGUGAAAUAAGAAAGACAAAUACUGCAUGAUCUCACUUAAAUGUGGAAGCUAAAAAAGUUGAACUCACAGAAACAGAAAGUAAAAUAGUGGUUACCAGAGUCCUGGGGGUUAGUAGCAGGGAUGGAAGGAUUGAGAAGAUGUUGGUCAAAGAGCACAAAACUUCAGCUGGACCGAAAGAAUAAGUUUAAGAGUUCUAUUGUACAUCAUAAUGACUACAGUUAACAACAAUAUAUUGUAUAGUUGAAAAUUGCUAAGAAAUUGAUUUUAAGUGUCUUCGCCACAAAAAGAAAAUUAUGUGAGGUAGUGGACAUGUUAAAUAGCCUCAUUUAGCCAUUCCACAAUGUAUACAUACAUCAAAACAUCAUACGGUAUACCAUAUGUAUAUAUAAUUUUUAACUGUUGAUAAAAAAAUAAAAAUUUGAACAAAUAUAUAUUUUAUCUUUCAAAGAAGAUUCAGAAUUUAAAAUAUUAAAUUUAAAAUAUAGAAAUGUUAGUCUAAGUUUGGAUUUUCUAAUACAAAAUAUUGCUGCUUAACACUAAAGAGUAGGUAAAAAUACUAGUUUAAUUUUUUUAUCAUUUCCAAAAGAUUUUAGUAUUCUUUAAAAUAGUCUCACUUAUCUUAAUUGUUCAUUAAAGAUCUAUAAUCCAUUAUGUAUAUGUAUAUUGAAAGGAAAAGACCUAGUUUUGGGCCUUUAUUUUGGAAAAUCUAUGACUCUUUGACUCUGUUUUCUCAUCUAUAAAAUGGACUUUUGAGAACAUUCAACUAACUUGCAAUUAUGGUGAGAAUUAAUAUGUGAAAGAAAGUGCUCAGCUUCUGUCAAAUGCUUCUUGUGGGGUGUGUGUGUGUGUGUGUGUGUGUACAUGCCUGGGCAUUUGCAUGUAUUUGUGUGCCUGUGUUUGUGAUAAUAAUUUCUAUUUAUGUCAUGAUCUAGUGGUGCAAAGACAAAGGGUAUGUCUAUUUAAAAAGCUAGAGUGCAAGAAAGAAAGACAAGAAAUACUUCCUUCAGUAAAAAAUAGAUUUAAAGGGAGGGAUUAGUUUUAUUGAAACUAUGACUGCUGCUUCUCAUUGUCAGGGAAAGUAAUAUCACUAGGAGUUACAUGGAACAAAUGCUUAAAUAAAUGAUCGGGAUAGAUAGCUACUUACUCUGACUAAUAGGAAAUGAGUGACCUUUAAAAUGACUCAGAUUCCCAAAAAUCUCUGACUCCAUUCUAUAAUCUGUGUUUUGUUCCAUAUAAAAUUAAACAAUAAAUAUAGUUAGGAGCAAAAUUACAAAUCUAAAAGAGAUGAGGACUGGGAACCCGGGGACGAAAGUUCUACUCUUUUGUUCUUACUCACUUGGUUUGUGACCUUGAACAAAUCACUAUACCCUCCCGGGCUUCAGCCCCAUUACUUUCAACAUGAAGGGGGUCUAAGGUCCCUCCAGCUUUAACACUUGGUGACACUAUGAUUCCAGUUCAUAGCUUCUUGCUCACAAUAUUUGACACUUUGUUGACAUACUGUCAGAAACUUUACACAUUUUCCAAAAGCCAUCACAGAGUAUUAUCAGGUCAUUAAUGUAGAGUUUUAAGAGGAAACUAUAAAACGUCUUUCACUGGGUAUUUGUUAUAGCAACUACGUUUAUACUGUUGGAUUCCUCCGUGAUGAUAGAUAGAUAGACAGAUAGAUAGAUAGAUGAUAGAUAGAUAGAUGGAUAGAUAGAUAAAGAUAUACUUCCAAAAGAAAUCAAAUAUGUUAGGCUAAUACACUAUGAGUAAUAAAGUUGUACUACAAGUAUGUGUGACAAAAAUAUCUUCAUGUAAAUCUUCUGCUUAUUCCUACUCAGCUAAUGACAUAGAGAUAAAAUGUAUCUGAGCCCAUUUGUGCUUACUAAUGUAAAAAGUAAUAAUUUAUUUAUUUGUGUGUGUAUAUAUACACAUCAGUGUAUGUAUACGCAUAUAUGUAAAUAGAAAAAUUCUGGAAAAAUUGCUAAAAGAUGUAUACAUUAUAAUGUUUUACUAUAUAUACUUCUGUACCAUUUCACUUUUCCACAAUGAGCAUGUAACUACUUAAUUAUAAAUUAAAAAAGAAAACAGAAAAUAUAAACAUUUCUAGCCUUAUGCAAAGUUGUGUAAAUUUCUUUUGUAGAUUUCUGUGAUUUAUUUAUUUUCCCUUCAUAAAUGGCAUAUACAUGUAAUAUAUAUCUCUAUCUUUCACUAGCUGUGUCUGUAUGUAUAAAUAAAUUAAAUCCAGUAUGUGUUGAGCACUAAAUGUACCAGGCAUUGGUCUAAGCACUUUAAUUAUGAUAUACAACUCAGUACCCAUGACACCCUUGAGUGGAUUAUUUUUACUACCAGAUACAGA